UACACUCCUACGGGAGGCAGCAGUGGGGAAUUUUGGACAAUGGGCGAAAGCCUGAUCCAGCCAUGCCACGUGCAGGAUGAAGGCCUUCGGGUUGUAAACUGCUUUUGUACGGAACGAAACGGCCUUUUCUAAUAAAGAGGGCUAAUGACGGUACCGUAAGAAUAAGCACCGGCUAACUACGUGCCAGCAGCCGCGGUAAUACGUAGGGUGCAAGCGUUAAUCGGAAUUACUGGGCGUAAAGCGUGCGCAGGCGGUUAUGUAAGACAGUUGUGAAAUCCCCGGGCUCAACCUGGGAACUGCAUCUGUGACUGCAUAGCUAGAGUACGGUAGAGGGGGAUGGAAUUCCGCGUGUAGCAGUGAAAUGCGUAGAUAUGCGGAGGAACACCGAUGGCGAAGGCAAUCCCCUGGACCUGUACUGACGCUCAUGCACGAAAGCGUGGGGAGCAAACAGGAUUAGAAACCCCAGUAGUCCCA
rnacentral:rRNA from 1 species